UUCAUAGUUUGGUUUUGAGAGUUCACUCAAAAUUACAUAUUUAUCAGCCGAGAGAUGAGUGAUAUUGUGAGGGGUAUUGACAUUGCAUGAUUGGUUGCUCGAAGGUAAGAAAAGCUUGAUUAGGUAGGCCCGUUUUCAUUUAAAUGUUAUGAUUCGUCAACCUUUUGAUCGUUGUAAGUCUUGCGAAACCGUUGUGUUUAAUGAUUUCGUAGUUCGCGUUAUAAUUUGUUUGAGACUUGCGUUAUUGUUAAGUGUUUAAGUUGAACAUGUUGAUUGGGAUUUUGCAUAAGUCUUUUUCAGGGACGAAAAAGGUUUAAGUGUGGGGAUAUUUGAUGUGGGUUAAAAUACACAUAAUUGUCCCGUGUAAAUUGUCCUGGUGCAAAUGGAGCGGAAAAGAGUAAUAAUUAAAUGACCAGCCAGUUGGGCAGAGUAGAAUGUCAGUGACAGAAACUAAAAUCGCCACUAUUUUCUUUGAUUGAGUCGAGCCCACUUAUCUCUAUAGUAUAAAACAUAGAGGCUUCAUAUGAAACACAUGGGCUGCCAUAUGUACUAAGCCCAGCAAAACCUUUAAAGUCAAGAUAGUGGGCCGCUAAUUUCCACAUACAAGUUCACGAAACAUCAAAUGAGGACCGUUACUUCUAUUUUUUGGGCUUUUGGAAACAAGAAACUAGUGGAUUGAAUAUUAUAGAAACAAAAACCCUAAAGGCCAGGAGAUUGAUUAUAUAGUGGACGUGAAUCAAAGUGAAAGGGAUCCCCUAAUUAAUUUUUCGUAGGGCAGAGGAGGUUGACGGCAGAAACACAACAGCAGGCUGCGAUCAAGAGGAAAGAAAGAAAAGAAAGGAUUGGUUCGAGCUUCAAGCCGCAAUCAAGUUUCAAGUUCGGGUCCUGGUGCAAAUGGAGCGGAAAAGAGUAAUAAUUAAAUGACCAGCCAGUUGGGCAGAGUAGAAUGCCAGUGACAGAAACUAAAAUCGCCACUAUUUUCUUUGAUUGAGUCGAGCCCACUUAUCUCUAUAGUAUAAAACAUAGAGGCUUCAUAUGAAACACAUGGGCUGCCAUAUGUACUAAGCCCAGCAAAACCUUUAAAGUCAAGAUAGUGGGCCGCUAAUUUCCACAUACAAGUUCACGAAACAUCAAAUGAGGACCGUUACUUCUAUUUUUUGGGCUUUUGGAAACAAGAAACUAGUGGAUUGAAUAUUAUAGAAACAAAAACCCUAAAGGCCAGGAGAUUGAUUAUAUAGUGGACGUGAAUCAAAGUGAAAGGGAUCCCCUAAUUAAUUUUUCGUAGGGCAGAGGAGGUUGACGGCAGAAACACAACAGCAGGCUGCGAUCAAGAGGAAAGAAAGAAAAGAAAGGAUUGGUUCGAGCUUCAAGCCGCAAUCAAGUUUCAAGUUCGGGUUUGCAAUUUAUUAUUUUUGGUUUUGUUAGACUUUGUGUUUUACAAAAUUAUAAACAUGUUUUGCUACUCGAUUCAGACUUGUUUCUUUUUCAUGACUAUGAUUCUUGGCUAAACUUUUCAUACUACUUAGGUUGAGAUGAACUAGAGGAUUGUAAUGCGUUUGUGACAUGUUUUCGGUUAUUUGAUGUGAUUUACAUAACUUUUCUU
rnacentral:lncRNA from 1 species